AAGAAUUCACCCUUAUUUAUAGGAAUGAAGGUGGUGAUGACGAUGUGAGGGAGGGGUGUGGUGUUGACACGUGGGGGAUGACUAAUCUAAGUCAGAAUAUUUUGUAAAAUUAAUUUUUUUUAUUUUUUAUUUUCGUCCAUUUAUUUAAUUAAAAUUAUGAAAUUCGAAACAUGCCCAAACCAACCCUAUUUUGAACACUAAGUGGGCUCGAAAUCCUUAUCAUCUGGUCCAAUUACAGAAUUUAGCUUUUAGAUUCGAAAUAUCAUGUCAACCCGUUAAUUCUACCAACGCUUAAUAUCUAGGUUCGGCAUAGCAUCUUUGUUUAUAACCAUUAAUUGAUAAUUUAAACAAUUCGGUAAAAUUUUAGAAGUGUG
rnacentral:lncRNA from 1 species